rnacentral:misc_RNA from 1 species
GAUGAAGAACGUAGCGAAAUGCGAUAAGUAGUGUGAAUUGCAGAAUUCAGUGAAUCAUCGAAUCUUUGAACGCACAUUGCGCCCUUUGGUAUUCCAAAGGGCAUGCCUGUUCGAGCGUCAUUUGUACCCUCAAGCUUUGCUUGGUGUUGGGCGUCUUGUCUCCAGUUCGCUGGAGACUCGCCUUAAAGUAAUUGGCAGCCGGCCUACUGGUUUCGGAGCGCAGCACAAGUCGCGCUCUCUUCCAGCCAAGGUCAGCAUCCACAAAGCCUUUUUUCAACUUUUGACCUCGGAUCAGGUAGGGAUACCCGCUGAACUUACGCAUAUCAAUAAGCGGAGGA